AUGAAUCUUGGUCUUACUUUCAGCAAAUCUUCAUCUACCCUAGUUAGUGCUUUCUCAGAUUCUGAUUGGGCAGGAUGCAUAGAUGACAGACGCUCUACUGGUGGGUUUGCAGUAUUUUUUGGACCAAAUCUAAUAUCAUGGUGUGCAAAGAAACAUGCUACUGUAUCAAGGUCAAGCACAGAAGCUGAGUACAAGGCACUUGCAAAUGCCACAGCAGAAAUUAUUUGGGUACAACCUAUGUUAAAGGAACUUGGUAUAAAGAGUACCAAAGCUCCGUGUUUAUGGUGUGAUAAUCUUGGUGCCACCUACCUAUCUGCAAAUCCAGUGUUUCAUGCAAGAACGAGGCAUAUUAAAAUUGAUUUCCACUUUGUCAGAGAAAGAGUUGCAAAUCAGCAGUUAGACAUUCGGUUUGUGCAUUCUAGAGAUCAAGUUGCAGAUGGUUUCACAAAACCGUUGCCUACAAGAAGUUUUGAAGAAUUCAAGCGUAAUCUCAACUUGACAAAGUUGUGA
rnacentral:rRNA from 1 species